rnacentral:misc_RNA from 1 species
AGUCGUAACAAGGUCUCCGUAGGUGAACCUGCGGAUGGAUCAUUACCAAAGGAAUUUCUAUUCCUCUACGUAUUGUGAACUGUUUUGAACAACUGCAGUCAGUUGUGUUUGUGGCCGUUGUAGGGUUUUUAUCUGCGAAAGCAAACAAACUCUUGAGCGGUUGCACUUACAGCUGACUGUACAGUACUAACGUACUUCUGCUUUACCGCAGACCUAAACCUAUUAUAGAAAUAACAAACUAUAAACAACUUUUAGCAACGGAUCUCUUGGCUCUC